rnacentral:tRNA from 1 species
CCGACUUUAGCUCAGUUGGUAGAGCGGAGGACUGUAGUUUGAUUAAUCUAAAUUGGAAAUCCUUAGGUCGCUGGUUCAAAUUCGGCAGGUCGGA